UAACUCCACGAGACGAAAAUGACUGUGAACUUCAAUACCAUUUACCAAUUUUCAGUUCUGCAGAAGUGCAACAUUGCUACUUUAACAACAGCAUCAUAAUCCAACAGCAAAGAAGCUGUAAGAAUAUUCCAACACCACCUAUAAUAAAGAAUAAUAUGUGCAAUAAAUGACACCCAACAUAAUUAUCCAUUGAAUCGAAUAAUUUUCGGAUAAAUUCAUGAGUACCUAUAGAACCCAAAAUAAUUAGGAGCGCUAUACAAACCAAAUUAUUUACCCAGCAUUUGGGUUCUCGAAAUAGUACACACCGUCUGAAUCAAAAUGCUUACACAUUCUAUCAUCGAAUAUCAGCCCGCCAUUGAAGAAUACUGAUGCGGCACCUCAACUCUUUUCUCCUUUUCUUUUUUCUUUUUUUCCAUUUUCGAACUCCAUUAUUUUUCCCCAAAUCAUUUUUUUUAUUUUCCGUAAUCUGAUUCCAUUCACUUUUUCAGCUCUUUUAUUUUGAAAACGUAUAGGUUGAAGGCAAAAUAAUGAAGAACACAGUGAGAGAAAUAGAGAGAGAAGUUGUAGAACUCUCUGGAACAACCGAGAGAAGAA
rnacentral:lncRNA from 1 species